rnacentral:rRNA from 1 species
ACGACCUGCAUGAAACAUAGAACGAUUCGAUAGCUGUCUUGCACACACAUCAUGGUAAAAUAUUCAUCAGUACAAAGAAUAUGCUGGCUCACACUAAAGGACAAAAAGACCCUCUGAAGCUUUAUAGGGAUAAAAUCUAGUACACAUCCGUUUAUAAGCUGAUGGCCCCAAGAAGCGAGUAAAACAAACUGUUUAAUUGGGGCGAUAAGCUUAUCUAAUCCACCUAAGGUGAACAAAGCCAUCCAAUGAGCCCAACUAAUAAGUGCAAAGAUACAUGUUUCGCUUAAUGGCCCAAGAAGUCCUUGCCAGUGUUU